rnacentral:rRNA from 1 species
UGGGGAAUAUUGGACAAUGGGCGAAAGCCUGAUCCAGCGACGCCGCGUGGGUGAAGAAGGCCUGCGGGUUGUAAAGCCCUUUCGGUGGGGAAGAAAAGCCUCGAGUUAAUACCUCGGGGUCUUGACGUAACCCAUAGAAGAAGCACCGGCUAACUCUGUGCCAGCAGCCGCGGUAAUACAGAGGGUGCGAGCGUUAAUCGGAAUUACUGGGCGUAAAGCGCGCGUAGGCGGCUUUGCAAGUCGGGUGUGAAAUCCCCAGGCUUAACCUGGGAACUGCAUUCGAGACUGCAUUGCUAGAGUAUGGGAGAGGGAAGUGGAAUUUCCGGUGUAGCGGUGAAAUGCGUAGAUAUCGGAAGGAACAUCAGUGGCGAAAGCGACUUCCUGGACCAAUACUGACGCUCAUGUGCGAAAGCGUGGGGAGCAAACAGGAUUAGAUACCCUGGUAGUCCACGCCAUAAACGAUGAGAACUGGAUGUCGGGAGGGUCUGCCUC